UUUGUACCAAAAAUACGCCUCUGAAGGCAAAGUGCAUACUUGUAAAAAUUCCGUAUUUUAAUGUCUGCUUUAAAUAGUACAUAAAGCGUGUCUCAGUUAAAAUCCCUCAGCUGGACAUUCUUGAGUGUAUCUAAAAGUCGAGGGUCGAGAGUCGAGAGUAAAGGUCGAGAGUCGAGAGUAAAAGUCGAGAGUCGAGAGUAAAAGUCGAGAGUCGAGAGUAAAAGUUGAGAGUCGAGAGUAAAAAGUCGAGAGUCGAGAGUAAAAAGUCGAGAGUAAAAAGUCGAGAGUCGAUCGAGAGUAAAAAGUCGAGAGUCUGCAAAUGCCAUCAGAAACAAUAAAGUCAAAAUAUUUUUAACCACGUUUACAUAGCCAUGAGUUUGCCCCUCAAAUGCCCUCCCCCCCAAAAAAAAUAAAUUUGGAAGCCUGGCGCCGCCACUGGUGAUAACAAAAACAAAGAAGAUUGGAUAAGAAAAUAAUAUCGCAUUUGAUGCCUCAAUCUUGCUAAAUGUUUUCGCAUGUCAUUUCAUUCUGACGCAUAAACUCCGCUGAAUUUUGUCAGCCAUCUCCAGGCUUGUAACUAAAAUGUCACUUAUUCAUUAACGUACGUUUAUAUCAGGGGCGUAGGAAUCGGGGGGGGGGGCCAGGGGGGCCAUGGCCCCCCAAGUUUUGGCAAGUGCCCUUUUUCCAGGAGCAAAGUGCCCUUUUUGUUCCUGAAAAAUUUUCAUAAAAUUUGCAUUUUUUGUCCCAAC